CAGUCGCCACGGUAAUACGAAGGGUGCAAGCGUUAAUCGGAAUUACUGGGCGUAAAGCGUGCGUAGGCGGUUUGUUAAGUCUGUUGUGAAAUCCCCGGGCUCAACCUGGGAACUGCAUUUGUGACUGGCAAGCUAGAGUGUGGCAGAGGGGGGUGGAACUCCGCGUGUAGCAGUGAAAUGCGUAGAUAUGCGGAGGAACACCGAUGGCGAAGGCAGCCCCCUGGGCCAACACUGACGCUCAUGCACGAAAGCGUGGGGAGCAAACAGGAUUAGAUACCCCUGUAGUCCCUGUCUCUUAUAC
rnacentral:rRNA from 1 species